rnacentral:lncRNA from 1 species
GUUAUAACGUAUUAAUUACGUUUUGAAAUUGUUCAAUUGAUUAAUAGAGUAUUAAUCAAAUUAGUUAAUUUUUUUAGGGCAUUGGGCCUAAUUUACCCAUUUUUCGCUCCUCGGGCAAAGCACUUUCGCAAGGGGCCCUUGGCUCCCUCCGUGCAUGAAAGCAGGUCUUAAAGGCCUCUAAUAAUCAAUUCUAAAACACAGUCAAUGCUCCUCAGUGAACUAUAUGUACACGGUAACAACCCCUUCAUCCCCAGUCGAUGCUUCAGUGUAGUAUAGAACACAAUCAUGUGAACUCGAAGAAAUAUAUAAUCAUGGUUACUCUUCUGAUCCAUCUCAAUAUCACGUGUCUUACAUUCCAAAUCACAAAUAUUUCAUAUCUUAUCUUUGAAUUCCACAACUAUCAUAACGAAAGAAUAUUUCCAUAAUAAUCAUGUAAUCGAAUAUAUACUUACGUAAUAUAAUAGUAUAAUUAAUUAUCAAUACUUGAAUAUAUUUAAAUUUUUUUCCACUCACGGAUCUACGGAUAUAAAUCUGAUUAAAUUGAUGAGCCUUUUCAAGCUUCCACGUCCUUAUCUGAAAUAACGGUAUAAUUUUUCGAAUUAAAACCAAACAAUUAAAAUAAUAUAAAUCCACCACUUAACUUCUCAACUUCUAUACUUAAUUUUUCGAAUUAAAACCAAACAAUUAAAUUAAUAUAAAUCCACCACUUAACUUCUUAACUUCUAUACUUACUUUUACAUCUCCAAUUCCCCAACUUUUCUUCUGUAUAUUGAAAUCUGGCAUCGAAACCGUUGACAGAAAUAGCACUUUUCUGGGUAGAAUUUCAAAAUUAACACCUGUACUAUAAUAGCUCGAAAAUUGAUUUUUAAAAAUGAAGAAUUCCAAUCUCAAAUACUUAAGUGUUUAGCAUCAUAUAAUCAGAAGAAACUCAAAGAAUAUCUCUUUUAUCUAGCAACCCACUUCUAAAAUUCUACUAUCUUCAUCUCCAAUUUUCAAAUAAACAUUUCCUUACUCUAUUCUUAUUUAAAACCUUGAAUACAUAUCAACAACACUUAAUUCUUGCUAACUUCAAACUUUUAAAGAUAAGUUCCGUAAACCCUAAAGGAGAUAAUUUCACAUUCUUAUACUUACCUCUCUAAAUCAAAGGGGGAAAUUGAGAACUUGACCUUGUAAACUUGGAACCUACCCCUUCGUUCUUUUUCUCUCUCUCUUCCAUUUCCUCCCUUUUCCUUCCAUGGUUUCAUUCCUGUUUCUCCAUUCAGUUUUUGUCCCCUCAAAAUGACCAAAAAGAGAUCAAUUAUCCUUUAAGUUAGUGGAUAACCAUUAUAAUAUUGCAACUAAAGUCCCCAUCCUUAAUAUAAUAUACCUUUAAUUCCAAUAAAUAGAAAACAAAUCCCUAAUUGUCUAUAUAUAUACUUUUGGCCCUUAAGUACUUGUAAUUACAAAUAAAGCCCCAUAAAAAUUAUUUUUUCAACUUAAAUCCUUAUUAACUUUGAAUUUGACUAAUUACUUUGCUUGACUUUGACUAAAAAUGAGUGGGGUGUAAUAAUCUUGCCCACUUCAAAGAAAUUCAUCCUCAAAAUUCAAUCCACUAGAAGUCGAACAUAUUGGAAAAUAAAGCAAAAAUAAUGAAUGAUUCCUCCAACAACCUUUAACAAGGCCCAAAGUUCAUUCUUUCCUUAUUAUACUUCGAAUAACUUUCCUAUGAACCAAUAUAUGAUAUUUUCAACUUUUCAUUUUACAUUUCUUAUUUCUCCUUCUCUAUAAAUAUGCACUCCCUGCAAUACCCAUAUACCUAUUCAGCUUAUCUUCUUCUCUUGUAAUUUUCCAUUUCACUUUUCAGUUAUGCCCAUAUACAACACACAACUUACUAAUGCAGUUUUCAAUUCCUCAUCCUUUUCUUUCCACGCCACAAAGUUUCAUUGUCCAUUUAAUUCUUUAAGGCACCACAACUACAUGUAGAGAGAAUCCAAAAUUUUGCACAACUUAAUACUUACCCGUACUAAAGUAAGAAACUUGAGCUUACCAAUUUCUUAAAUAAAGAAAGAAAAACACAACACCUAGACUUUAUCUCUAUUCCUCCUUUUUUUUUUUUUUUCAACCUAAUUUAUCACUAAUCUCUCUCAUUUUGUAACCUACCAUAUAAUUGGUCAAGGUAGUCAUAAUCCCAUCCUAUAUUUUUCUCGAAGUACACAUGAAUGUUAAUCUCUUCAAUGCGUAAUAUGCAUAAUAAAACAAUGUAUUUCAUUGAUCAACAUCCUAUAUAAUAUUAUCAUUUUGUCCUCUCAUAUAGCAUAAGUAUAUACCAACAUGCUUCCUACUCUCGUCCCAAAGGUAUGACCACAAUUCACCACAAUUUUCGAUAGCGCUAAUGAUCAUUUAGCUCCCCGACAUAAUCAAAAUCAUUUAGCUCCCCGACAUAAUCAAAAUCAUUUAGCUCCCCGACAUAAUCAAAAUCAUUUAGCUCCCCGACAUAAUCAAAAUCAUUUAGCUCCCCGACAUAAUCAAAAUCAUUUAGCUCCCCGACAUAAUCAAAAUCAUUUAGCUCCCCGACAUAAUCAAAAUCAUUUAGCUCCCCGACAUAAUCAAAAUCAUUUAGCUCCCCGACAUAAUCAAAAUCCCUCACAGAUUAUCACCAAUUACACAUAUUAUAUCAUUUCCUUGUAUUAUUGUGCAAGCUAUAAUUAAAGAUUUUCUUAUGUAUACAUAAAAAAUCAUGUAAUUUUACAAAUAAAUUGAUACUUAAAUGGUUGUACCAUCUAUCACUUUGAAUGCCUAUACAUAAACAACCUGCAAAAUCAUCAAAAUCUGUUUAGCUCUUAAUAUUUUACAUAUACCAUGGUUCCAAUCCAACAACUAAUAACUUUAUCAACCAUCAGAUCAUUGCAACUAUCAUACUUACAUACUAAUCAUUUUUGGAUCUAUUAAAAAUAUUUUUCUAUCAUAUUUGGUUCCAUACAUUCGAGUCUGAGAGCUCGUAAUUUCCACCACCACGACAUAUAACCAUAUGCAAUGAAUAUGCAUCAUAUGCCAAUGCAAGAACUAUGAAAACUUUCAAAACUAAUAUCACUUUGACAGGACCCGUCUCGAAUCACUCUAGUGGACUAGAAACGUGAUGUGCACCGAUGAUAAAUGAUGACUAGAUGCUAGAUCCAUCACCAAGGCUAACCAUGAGCUACUACAAAAUAUGCACUAAAAUCAAAUGUUUAUAAAAAAUAUAAUACAAUUGGCCAGAAAUAAUUACUUCAUCUUUUAUCAAAAAUGAAUCGUAUCACUCAAUAUGUCAUGUGGUUCUAAUUAUAAAACCACCAGGCUCCUCAAGCUAUCAAAGACUAAUACUACCGUAAGAAAAAUCAUGGAAAAAUAUGAGUUUAUCACUCAGUGAGUGGAAGAGUUCGAAAAUAAUUAUACUUUUUCAUUUAAACAUUUUUCUCAUACAUAACAUAGACAUCAAGUUCAUAUCGUUUAAUAAUUCACAUGAUAGCCUCACACAAUUAUAGCAAAAAAUGAGACAUUUUCAUAACUUUGUAAAUAUCAUCUCAUAUUCACGAUAUAGUCAUCAGCUGAUAUCUAUAUCAUCAUCCCAUCACACUAUCUGUGAUCUACAAAAAAGUACCCUCUAACUAAAAUCUGAAAUCCGUCUCUCGGGCCAAGUACUUUAACCACAGGCCUUUGGCUCCCUCCAUGUACGAAAGUGGGUUUCAAAGACCUCUAAUGAUCAAUUUUAGAACACGACCAGGCCCCUCAGUGAACUAUAUGUACACGGUCAUGAUCUUUUUAUCACCAGUCAACCCUUAGUGUAGUAUAGAACACGAUCAAUGCUCCUCAGUAAACUAGAAGAAGUAUAUAAUCAUGAGUAUUUUUUCUUGUCCAUCUUAAUAUCACAUGUCUGACAUUCCAAAUCACAAAUAUUUCAUAUUUAAUCUUUGAAUUCCACAAAUAUCAUAAUGAAAGAAUAUUUCCACAACAAUCAUGUAAUCAAAUAUAUAAGUGCACAUAAUGUAGUAGUAUAAUUAAUUUAUCAAUACUUGAAUAUAUUUAUAUUUUUUUCCAUUCAUAGAUCUAUGGAUAGAAAUCUGAUUAAAUUGACGAGCUUUCCAAGCUUCCACAUCCCUUUCUGAAAUAACGGUAUAAUUUCUCGAAUUAAAACCUAACAAUUAAAUUAAUAUGAAUCCAUCACUUAACUUUUCAACUUUUAUACUUACUCUUACAUCUUCAAUUUCCCAACUUUUCUUUUCUUUAAUGAUUUAUCAACCGAUCACCCUACACUAUCAAAUCUAUUACACCACUCACAGUUCCUUAAAACCACUACCUUAUACAUAUACAACCUCUAUACAUAGUUAGUCCAAUACAUAGACUUCAAUAUUUGUCAUAUAAAUUCAUUUAAACCUUUAAAAAUCUGGAAAUCCAAAGUUUGACAAAAACAACACUAAAAUUCCACAAUAUAGCCAAUUUCUAUAUAUUGAAAUUUGGCAUCGAAACCAUUGACAGAAAUAGCACUUUUCUGGGCAGAAUUUCAGAAUUAACACCUGUACUAUAAUAGCUCAAAAAUAGCUUUUAAGAAAAUGGAGAAUUCCAAUCUAAAAUUCUUAAUUUAAGCGUUUAACAUCAUAUAAUCAUAAGAAACUCCAAGAAUAUAUCUUUUAUCUCACAACCCAUUUCCAAAAUUCUACUUUCUUCAACUCCGAUUUUCAAAUAAACAUUUCCUUACUAUAUUCUUAUUUAAAACCUUGAGUACACAUCAAUAACACCUAGUUCUUGCUAACUUCAAAGUUUUAAAGAUAAGUUCCAUAAACCCUAAAGGAGAUAACUUUACCUUAUACUUACCUCUCUAAAUUAAAGGGGGAAAUUGAGAAAUUGAGAACCUGACCUUG